AACGAACGCUGGCGGCAUGCCUAACACAUGCAAGUCGAACGAGACCUUCGGGUCUAGUGGCUCACGGGUGCGUAACGCGUGGGAACCUGCCCUUAGGUUCGGAAUAACUCCCCGAAAGGGGUGCUAAUACCGGAUAAUGUCUUCGGACCAAAGAUUUAUCGCCUUUGGAUGGGCCCGCGUUGGAUUAGCUAGUUGGUAGGGUAAAAGCCUACCAAGGCGACGAUCCAUAGCUGGUCUGAGAGGAUGAUCAGCCACACUGGGACUGAGACACGGCCCAGACUCCUACGGGAGGCAGCAGUGGGGAAUAUUGGACCAUGGGCGAAAGCCUGAUCCAGCAAUGCCGCGUGAGUGAUGAAGGCCUUAGGGUUGUAAAGCUCUUUUACCCGGGAUGAUAAUGACAGUACCGGGAGAAUAAGCUCCGGCUAACUCCGUG
rnacentral:rRNA from 1 species